AGUUAAUGAACUUGUAUAAGUAUAUGUUUUGAAAACAUAAUAAAGAAAAUAAAUUUUCUAUUAACUU
rnacentral:tRNA from 1 species